AGAGUUUGAUCAUGGCUCAAGUGAACGCUGGCGGCGUGGAUUAGGCAUGCAAGUCGAACGAUACCGCAAGGUAUAGUGGCAAAAGGGCGAGUAACACGUGAGUAAUCUGCCUUCGAGUGGGGAACAACCUUGGGAAACCGAGGCUAAAACCGCAUAAGACCACGGCCUGGCAUCAGGCUGUGAUCAAAUGGGGGGACCGUAAGGCCUCUAGCUUGAAGAUGGGCUCGCGUCCUAUCAGCUUGUUGGCGGGGUAAUGGCCCACCAAGGCUUUUGACGGGUAGCUGGACUGAGAGGUUGGUCAGCCGCAUUGGGACUGAGACACUGCCCAGACUCCUACGGGAGGCUGCAGUCGAGGAUAUUUAGCAAUGCCCGAAAGGGUGACUAUGCGACGCCGCGUGCGCGAUGAAGGUCUUCGGAUUGUAAAGCGCUGUCAGCCGGGAGGAAUCUCGGGGGCUUUAACAAAGCCGCCGGGCGACAGUACCGGCAGAGGAAGCCACGGCUAACUCCGUGCCAGCAGCCGCGGUAAUA
rnacentral:rRNA from 1 species